UGGUCGGAAGGGAUGCGGUGGGACGCAUUCCAAGAAUUGACCCGGAUUUUCCGCUCUUAUGGGCGCGCACCACGGCCCCGGUGGUUGAUGCG
rfam:Oceanibulbus indolifex HEL-45 1103467007066, whole genome shotgun sequence.